AGAGUUUGAUCAUGGCUCAGGAUAAACGCUGGCGGCGUGCAUGAGACAUGCAAGUCGAACGGACGAUCGGGGCUUGCUCUGAUCGUUAGUGGCGGACGGCUGAGUAACGCGUAGGUGACCUGCCCCGAAGUGGGGAAUAACUGCCCGAAAGGGUGGCUAAUACCGCAUGCGGAGCCACGUUCGAUCGUGUCUCCAAAGCCGCAAGGCGCUUCGGGAGGGGCCUGCGUCCGAUUAGCUCGUUGGUGAGGUAACGGCUCACCAAGGCGACGAUCGGUAGGUGGUCUGAGAGGACGAUCACCCAGACUGGGACUGAGACACGGCCCAGACUCCUACGGGAGGCAGCAGUCGGGAAUUUUGCUCAAUGGGCGAAAGCCUGAAGCAGCAACGCCGCGUGAGGGAUGAAGGCCUUCGGGUUGUAAACCUCUUUUCUCAGGGACGAUGAUGACGGUACCUGAGGAAUAAGCCACGGCUAACUACGUGCCAGCAGCCGCGGUAAUAC
rnacentral:rRNA from 1 species